GGGAUGGAGCGGGCCGUUUCUCCCGUUUCUACCACCACCUCCGCUGCCUCAGAGCCGGCUCCCGCCGCCGCCGCCGCCACCGCCGCCGCCCUCUCCCUCCUCUCCUCUUCCACUCCCCCCGCCGCCUCCCCUUUGUCCUCCCCCUCCGCCGCCUCCUUCUUGGGCGCUUCUGCCGCCUCUACACGACUCAGGCCCUCCGUCCCUGAGAAGUUGUGUUCGGUCUCCUCUGUGGGCCCCGGGCGCAGCCAUGGCAGACGGCGGCGGCGGCGGCGGCACGGGCUCGGUGGGCGGCGGCGGAGCGGGCCAGGCCUCGGCGGGGGCAGCGACAGGGGCGGCGGGGGCAGGUGGGAGCGGCGGCCCCAUCAACCCCGCCUCACUGCCUCCCGGGGACCCGCAGCUCAUCGCACUCAUCGUGGAGCAGCUCAAGAGCCGGGGCUUGUUUGACAGCUUCCGCCGGGACUGCCUGGCCGACGUGGACACCAAGCCAGCUUACCAAAACCUGAGGCAGAAAGUGGAUAAUUUUGUGUCAACACAUCUGGACAAGCAGGAAUGGAAUCCUACAAUGAACAAAAACCAGUUGCGAAAUGGUCUGCGGCAGAGUGUGGUUCAGUCAGGGAUGUUGGAAGCUGGAGUGGACAGAAUCAUUUCUCAAGUGGUGGAUCCCAAACUAAACCACAUCUUCAGACCACAGAUAGAAAGAGCAAUUCAUGAGUUCCUGGCGGCCAAGAAAAAAGAAGCUGUGCCAGCGCCCCCUCCAGAGCCUGAGAGCCAGGACCCCCCAGCUCCAUCCCAGGAUGCUUCCUAAGGUCCGGUAUCCUGUCUUUUGUCCAGGAGCCUUCAUCUCUGGCUUAUAAAUAUAUAAAAUGGAUAGAAAAGGGAGUAUGUCUGACAUUUUUUGGAAGCUCCAUUAAAUUAACUGUGAAGAAAUGGAUUCGG